GGAUGUAGAGUCAAUCUAGCUGCAACAUCUGUCAACCCAUUAAUCGCCAAAGUUGAUUUGGCUGAUCUGGCUGGCUAGGUGAAUGUCUCCUUCCUUCCUCACCAGUCCACAUGUGUUCCUCCCAAAGAUGCACACUGGGUCAAAGAAGACAACCUUCCCCAUAGAAAACUAUUCUUUGCUCAAGGGUAUAAAAGUAGUUGUGCUCCUCUGCUAGACCCUCGAAGAUGUUAGGUCAGAAUCCUUGCAUAUGGCCCAAAUGGAGUUCCAUCUAUACCACUUUCUUCAAUAUGCUGAUUCAGAGAGCUUCCAGACUCCUAUCA
ensembl:misc_RNA 7SK 7SK RNA